rfam:Ictidomys tridecemlineatus contig001111, whole genome shotgun sequence.
GGGGUUGUGGCUCAGUGGUAGAGUACUUGCCUAGUAUGUGUGAGACACUGAGUUUGAUUCUCAGCACCG